rnacentral:rRNA from 1 species
AUUGAACGCUGGCGGCAUGCCUUACACAUGCAAGUCGAACGGCAGCACGGGGCAACCUGGUGGCGAGUGGCGAACGGGUGAGUAAUGCAUCGGAACGUACCUUUCAGUGGGGGAUAACGUAGCGAAAGUUACGCUAAUACCGCAUAUUCUGUGAGCAGGAAAGCAGGGGAUCGCAAGACCUUGCGCUGAUUGAGCGGCCGAUGUCAGAUUAGCUAGUUGGUGAGGUAAAGGCUCACCAAGGCGACGAUCUGUAGCGGGUCUGGGAGGAUGAUCCGCCACACUGGAACUGAGACACGGUCCAGACUCCUACGGGAGGCAGCAGUGGGGAAUUUUGGACAAUGGGGGGCAACCCUGAUCCAGCCAUGCCGCGUGAGUGAAGAAGGCCUUCGGGUUGUAAAGCUCUUUCGGCCGGGAAGAAAUCGCACGGGCUAAUACCUCGGGAGGAUGACGGUACCUGAAGAAUAAGCACCGGCUAACUACGUGCCAGCCGCCGCAGUAAGAC